rnacentral:rRNA from 1 species
UACGUAGGGCGCAAGCGUUAUCCGGAAUUAUUGGGCGUAAAGAGCUCGUAGGCGGUUUGUCGCGUCUGCCGUGAAAGUCCGGGGCUCAACUCCGGAUCUGCGGUGGGUACGGGCAGACUAGAGUGAUGUAGGGGAGACUGGAAUUCCUGGUGUAGCGGUGAAAUGCGCAGAUAUCAGGAGGAACACCGAUGGCGAAGGCAGGUCUCUGGGCAUUAACUGACGCUGAGGAGCGAUAGCAUGGGGAGCGAACAGG